CUUCCUUCGAGGCUGCAGCCUUAAUACCAGUUCUGUGCUCACAGAAACGCCCGUCAGCCAUCUGGUUUGCUGCCGGUCAUACAACCAAUGCCUGUCUUUCUGUCUCUGCCUUCCUGCCUCUACCUCUGCCAACCACCCCAUGCCCAUGUGGGUGUAUUUGUCUGUCUGUCUGUCUGUGGGUCUGUCUGUCUGUCUGCGAAUCAAGUGCCUUCCUGGCUUUGGUGGUAGGUGGACAAAUCACGUGUCACUACAGUGGAGCCUCCUGCCUGGUCUGACAGCCGCAGCAGAGCCCUGAGGUAGGGAUUUACCUGGUCCAUCCUGACCCAACCAUGGGUUCCAGGUCCCUAAGCUGUGUGACCUUCUGCCUCUGGGGAGUAGGCGUCCUAGAGACAGCUGUUUUCCAGACUCCACAGUUUCUUGUCACACAGGUGGGAAAUAAAGCCUCUCUCAAGUGUGAACAAGAUCUGGGCCAUGACACUAUGUACUGGUACAAGCAAGACUCUAAGCAAUUGCUGAAGGUUCUGUUUAGCUACAACAAUAAGCAACUCAUUGUCAACGAGUCAGUUCCAAGUCGCUUCUCACCUCAGUCUUCAGAUAAAGCUCAUCUGAGUCUUCAUGUCAAGUCUGUAGAGCCGGACGACUCUGCUGUGUACUUCUGUGCCAGCAGUUAAG